UACGUAGGGUGCAAGCGUUGUCCGGAAUUAUUGGGCGUAAAGAGCUCGUAGGCGGUUUGUCGCGUCGGCCGUGAAAACCUGCAGCUUAACUGUGGGCGUGCGGUCGAUACGGGCAUCACUGGAGUUCGGCAGGGGAGACUGGAAUUCCUGGUGUAGCGGUGAAAUGCGCAGAUAUCAGGAGGUACACCGGUGGCGAAGGCGGGUCUCUGGGCCGAUACUGACGCUGAGGAGCGAAAGCGUGGGGAGCGAACAGG
rnacentral:rRNA from 1 species